AAGUAUUUAAUGUACUUUGAACACUUGUGUACUUGCCUGUUGCUUCCGUGGAGCAAAGGGUACCUCUACAGCUUAACUGGCCUUGAGGUUAGCCUUCCACGGGUGUACCUUUUAAAAUACUGUUUUAGAUGUCCUGUCUGAACUAGCUUUUAAAUAAAAAGUU
rnacentral:misc_RNA from 1 species